rnacentral:rRNA from 1 species
UACGGGGGGAGCAAGCGUUGUUCGGAUUUAUGGGCGUAAAGGGCGCGUAGGCGGUCGUGACAAGUCACUUGUGAAAUCUCCGGGCUUAACCCGGAAAGGUCAACCGAUACUGCGGGGCUAGAGUGCAGAAGGGGCAACUGGAAUUCUCGGUGUAGCGGUGAAAUGCGUAGAUAUCGAGAGGAACACCUGCGGCGAAGGCGGGUUGCUGGGCUGACACUACGCUGAAGUGCGAAAGCUAGGGGGAGCGAACGGG